rnacentral:snRNA from 14 species
UUAUUAACGUGACAGUGGUCCAGCCCCUGGGGUCUCCAAGGGUGACAGUAAAAUCAAGCCGGUGCUUUGCACUAGGGGUAUGCUGAGUCCUGAUUUUCCCAAACAUGGAAAACUGAAAUGUAUAAUUUAUGACAGUGAUGGACUGUGUUUAUACCUCCUUCC